GGCGGCGGGGCGGCUUUGUCCGUUCUGAGGAAAGUCCGGGCUUCACAAGGGAAUGGUAACUGCUAACGGCAGCCGGGGGUGACCCCAGGGAUAGUGCAACAGAAAUAGACCGCCCCGCAAGGGGUAAGGAUGGAAAGGCGAGGUAAGAGCUCACCAGCGCACUGGCGACUUUGCGGCUAUGUAAACCCUACCAGAAGCAACACCCGUAUGGGGCAUAUGCGUACCCUGCGCGCCCCGGAGGUGGCACGAGCCGUGCGGCAACGCACGGCCUAGACAGAUCGUCGUUUAAUACAGAACCCGGCUUACGGUUCGGUUG
rnacentral:RNase_P_RNA from 1 species